CUGCGAAUAUUCUCGCUGUCCUGGUGUUUCAAUGAUCAGGGCAGGCUAGACAUUCGCUAUAUUACUACUAUGCAGUGUGUCCCCAGGACUGGCUUUGUCUCCCUGGUUCUGGUUUUAAACUGCAAGUAACAUGU
rnacentral:snoRNA from 1 species